rnacentral:rRNA from 1 species
UAACGCAUUAAGCGCCCCGCCUGGGGAGUACGGCCGCAAGGCUAAAACUCAAAGGAAUUGACGGGGGGCCCGCACAAGCGGCGGAGCAUGUGGAUUAAUUCGAUGCAACGCGAAGAACCUUACCUGGGUUUGACAUAUACCGGAAAGCCGUAGAGAUACGGCCCCCCUUGUGGUCGGUAUACAGGUGGUGCAUGGCUGUCGUCAGCUCGUGUCGUGAGAUGUUGGGUUAAGUCCCGCAACGAGCGCAACCCUUGUCCUGUGUUGCCAGCGCGUAAUGGCGGGGACUCGCAGGAGACUGCCGGGGUCAACUCGGAGGAAGGUGGGGACGACGUCAAGUCAUCAUGCCCCUUAUGUCCAGGGCUUCACACAUGCUACAAUGGCCGGUACAGAGGGCUGCGAUACCGUGAGGUGGAGCGAAUCCCUUAAAGCCGGUCUCAGUUCGGAUCGGGGUCUGCAACUCGACCCCGUGAAGUCGGAGUCGCUAGUAAUCGCAGAUCAG